UGUUGGGCGGCGAGCGGCGGACGGGUGAGUAAUGCCUAGGAAAUUGCCCUGAUGUGGGGGAUAACCAUUGGAAACGAUGGCUAAUACCGCAUGAUGCCUACGGGCCAAAGAGGGGGACCUUCGGGCCUCUCGCGUCAGGAUAUGCCUAGGUGGGAUUAGCUAGUUGGUGAGGUAAGGGCUCACCAAGGCGACGAUCCCUAGCUGGUCUGAGAGGAUGAUCAGCCACACUGGAACUGAGACACGGUCCAGACUCCUACGGGAGGCAGCAGUGGGGAAUAUUGCACAAUGGGCGCAAGCCUGAUGCAGCCAUGCCGCGUGUGUGAAGAAGGCCUUCGGGUUGUAAAGCACUUUCAGUAGGGAGGAAGGUUCAUGCGUUAAUAGCGUAUGGAUUUGACGUUACCUACAGAAGAAGCACCGGCUAACUCCGUGCCAGCAGCCGCGGUAAUACGGAGGGUGCGAGCGUUAAUCGGAAUUACUGGGCGUAAAGCGCAUGCAGGUG
rnacentral:rRNA from 1 species